CCUACGGGAGGCAGCAGUGAGGAAUAUUGGUCAAUGGACGAGAGUCUGAACCAGCCAAGUAGCGUGAAGGAUGACUGCCCUAUGGGUUGUAAACUUCUUUUAUAUGGGAAUAAAAUGUUCCACGUGUGGGAUUUUGUAUGUACCAUAUGAAUAAGGAUCGGCUAACUCCGUGCCAGCAGCCGCGGGAAUACGGAGGAUCCGAGCGUUAUCCGGAUUUAUUGGGUUUAAAGGGAGCGUAGGUGGAUUGUUAAGUCAGUUGUGAAAGUUUGCGGCUCAACCGUAAAAUUGCAGUUGAAACUGGCAGUCUUGAGUACAGUAGAGGUGUGCGGAAUUCGUGGUGUAGCGGUGAAAUGCUUAGAUAUCACGAAGAACUCCGAUUGCGAAGGCAGUUCACUGGACUGCAACUGACACUGAGGCUCGAAAGUGUGGGUAUCAAACAGGAGUAGAUACCCGAGUAGUC
rnacentral:rRNA from 1 species